GCUCGGGUAGUUCAGUUUGGAUAGAAUGCGUCCCUCCUAAGGACGAGGUCGAGGGUUCAAGUCCCUCCCCGAGCG
rnacentral:tRNA from 1 species